AUUGAACGCUGGCGGCAGGCCUAACACAUGCAAGUCGAACGGUAACAGGAAGCAGCUUGCUGCUUUGCUGACGAGUGGCGGACGGGUGAGUAAUGUCUGGGAAACUGCCUGAUGGAGGGGGAUAACUACUGGAAACGGUAGCUAAUACCGCAUAACGUCGCAAGACCAAAGAGGGGGACCUUCGGGCCUCUUGCCAUCGGAUGUGCCCAGAUGGGAUUAGCUAGUAGGUGGGGUAACGGCUCACCUAGGCGACGAUCCCUAGCUGGUCUGAGAGGAUGACCAGCCACACUGGAACUGAGACACGGUCCAGACUCCUACGGGAGGCAGCAGUGGGGAAUAUUGCACAAUGGGCGCAAGCCUGAUGCAGCCAUGCCGCGUGUAUGAAGAAGGCCUUUCGGGUUGUAAAGUACUUUCAGCGGGGAGGAAGGGAGUAAAGUUUAAGUAACCUUUUGGACUCAAUUGACGUUACCCGCAGAAGAAGCACCGGCUAAA
rnacentral:rRNA from 1 species